rnacentral:lncRNA from 10 species
UCAAACUCGGGCACAUCCCUCAGCCACCACCUUCGCACGGUUACCUCUCUGGGUUUGUUCCUCCGGCAGCGCUUAUCCUGAUCAGUGGCUCUUGAACCUCCUGGGGGGACUGCGGAAUCUCCGGGGCUGCCCGCCUGCCCAGCAGCACCUUCAGCAGCCUCUGGCCGGGCUUUCCUGCCACAGCACCGGGAGCCAGGUGUGCACACAUCUGGAGGAUCUUUCCAAUUCCCUCACUUCCAAGACUCCUGCCAAUUGGUUCUGAGGCUAAAGGCCAGAGGAGCAGACAUGGCCUUGAGGCCCUACAGGUCUCAAUAAAGAACUCACGCCUUAGGAAAUGGGGAGCCCCUGAUGGCUCUGAAGGAGGGAAGUGACCUGGUCUGAUUAAAAGCAUACUCUCUGGCACUCCUGACAAGAACCGCAGUAUCUGGUGAGAAAUGGGGAAGACUGGGACAGUGGUAACAGGGGCUGAGGGGAGGGGACAGAUUUGAGGACUAUUUGGAGGU